AGCAUUUUUUAGGUGCAGUUGUAUCUAGAGCAGAAGGAGAUAAGGAUGAUGAUGAUGAUUAUACUAUUGAAGACUUUGAUGAUUUUGAUUAGUCUAAACUUGUGAUUGGCAAAUAUUUCUGUGAUACCGCCCAUGUAGUAUUUUUAUCUGAAUGCUCUGAAGAUUUAUUCCCUUAAGAAUUUUCAGAUCGAGAUAAAAAAAUGUUGUUAAAAGUGGAAUUGUAGAAAAUAAACAGAAAAAAUGGCUCCAACAGGAUCCUCCACAGAAAAGGUUAAGGUUUCCAACCUUCCCCUGCUCUUCUCUAAAGGAUCCCCAACUAGUUUAGA